GAUGAACGCUGGCGGCGUGCCUAAUACAUGCAAGUCGAGCGAACGCACGAGAAUCUUGCUUCUCUCAUGUUGGCGACGGACGGGUGAGUAACACGUGCAUAACCUACCUAUAAGACUGGGAUAACUUCGGGAAACCGGAUCUAACACCUGAUAAUAUUUUGAACCGCAUGGUUCAAAAGUGAAAGACGGUCUUGCUGUCACUUAUAGAUGUAUCCGCGCUGCAUUAGCUAGUGGGUGGGGUAACGGCUUCCCAAGGCCACGAUGCAUAGCCGACCUGAGAGGGUGAGCAGACACACUGGGACUGAGACACGGUCCAGACUCCUACGGGAGGCAGCAGUAGGGAAUCUUGAGCAAUGGGCGAAAGCCUGACGGAGCAAAGCCGCGUGAGUGAUGAAGGUCUUCGGAUCGUAAAGCUCUGUUAUUAGGGAAGAAAAUAAGUGUAAGUAAAUGUGCACAUCUUGACGGUACCUAAUGAAAAAGCAACGGCUAACUACGUG
rnacentral:rRNA from 1 species